rnacentral:rRNA from 1 species
CAACCUGCCCACCACUUGGGGAUAACCUUGCGAAAGUAAGACUAAUACCCAAUGAUAUCUCUAGAANACAUCUGAAAGAGAUUAAAGAUUUAUCGGUGAUGGAUGGGGAUGCGUCUGAUUAGCUUGUUGGCGGGGUAACGGCCCACCAAGGCAACGAUCAGUAGGGGUUCUGAGAGGAAGGUCCCCCACAUUGGAACUGAGACACGGUCCAAACUCCUACGGGAGGCAGCAGUGAGGAAUAUUGGUCAAUGGACGAGAGUCUGAACCAGCCAAGUAGCGUGCAGGAAGACGGCCCUAUGGGUUGUAAACUGCUUUUAUAAGGGAAUAAAGUUAGUCUCGUGAGACUUUUUGCAUGUACCUUAUGAAUAAGGACCGGCUAAUUCCGUGCCAGCAGCCGCGGUAAUACGGAAGGUCCGGGCGUUAUCCGGAUUUAUUGGGUUUAAAGGGAGCGUAGGCCGGAGAUUAAGCGUGUUGUGAAAUGUAGACGCUCAACGUCUGCACUGCAGCGCGAACUGGUUUCCUUGAGUACGCACAAAGUGGGCGGAAUUCGUGGUGUAGCGGUGAAAUGCUUAGAUAUCACGAAGAACUCCGAUUG